rnacentral:rRNA from 2 species
GAGUUUGAUCUUGGCUCAGGAUGAACGCUAGCUGGAGGCUUAAUACAUGCAAGUCGAGCGGGAUUGGGUAGCAAUACCCAUGAGAGCGGCGCACGGGUGAGUAACGCGUACACGACCUACCUUUGACUGGGGGAUAGCCCUGGGAAACUGGGAUUAAUACCGCAUAUAAUUCUGAUUAAUAAAGGAUUGGAAUGAAAGUUCAGGCGGUCAGAGAUGGGUGUGCGUCUGAUUAGCUAGUUGGUGAGGUAACGGCUCACCAAGGCGAUGAUCAGUAGGGGGCGUGAGAGCGUGGUCCCCCACACGGGUACUGAGACACGGACCCGACUCCUACGGGAGGCAGCAGUAAGGAAUAUUGGUCAAUGGGGGAAACCCUGAACCAGCCAUCCAGCGUGCAGGAAGAAGGCCCUAUGGGUUGUAAACUGCUUUUGUCAGGGAAUAAACCUGUGGAUUUAUCCGCAGCUGAAGGUACCUGAAGAAUAAGCACCGGCUAACUCCGUGCCAGCCGCCGCUGU